CAAGCUCACGGGCAUCUGAGGAAGUGCUUGUCCUUUAAGGACAACAUCUGUAUGGAAAUGGUAGCCCGAGGAAUGCAAUGUGACGGUUGCUAUGUCAACCUUUUCCCCUCCCCUUAAAUUAUUGACCAGCACAGUCAAUGUUGCAUAAAAGUCCUGCAACUCAGUGGAAUGUGUUUAUGUGCCGGCCUCUGCCAGAACUUUUCAUCCCUCCCCCCCCCACAUGUAUUUGCUUUGGGGAGAGAUGGCCCGUCACUUUGGUUUAACUGUGCUCCCCCCCCACCCCACCCCAACACACAUAUUUCUAAGAUGUGUAACAGGCCAGUGGUGACUUAAACUGCGGGGGAGCAAUUGAGGGACAUUAAGAAGGGCUUGAGGGACUUGAAGCCCUUUGAGUUGUGACGAGAAGAAGUCCAGACCUUGGGGCAGUGUGUGAAUCCCUUGCAGCUGGCCUGGGGAGGCUGCCAAUCCCUGGAGUCAGGACAGAAAUGGAUUCAUCAGUCCCUCAGGCCAAGGUUCUGUGGACAGAGUUGGGAGCUCGGCCAAGGAGAGCUGAAUUCAUUUGAUCCCUUCAUGCCUGGGAUGAAUCUGGGCCAUUGGGAGUUCACUUAGGGACCUCACUGUCUUAACUUGUUUGAGAAACCUUGGCUAGGCAUAGAAUAAAAUCCAACAGCAGCAUC